rnacentral:rRNA from 1 species
UACAGAGGUCUCAAGCGUUGUUCGGAUUCAUUGGGCGUAAAGGGUGCGUAAGGCGGCGCGGUAAGUCGGGUGUGGAAAUCAUUGGAGCUUAACUCCGAAACUGCAUUCGAUACUGCCGUGCUUGAGGACUGGAGAGGAGACUGGAAUUUACGGUGUAGCGGUGAAAUGCGUAGAUAUCGUAAGGAAGACCAGUGGCGAAGGCGGGUCUCUGGACAGUUCCUGACGCUGAGGCACGAAGGCCAGGGGAGCAAACGGG